UACGGGGGGGGCAAGCGUUGUUCGGAAUUACUGGGCGUAAAGGGCUCGUAGGCGGCCAACUAAGUCGGAUGUGAAAUCCCCAGGCUUAACCUGGGAACUGCAUCCGAUACUGGAUGGCUUGAAUCCGGGAGAGGGAUGCGGAAUUCCAGGUGUAGCGGUGAAAUGCGUAGAUAUCUGGAGGAACACCGGUGGCGAAGGCGGCGUCCUGGACCAACACUGACACUGAGGAGCGAAAGCCAGGGGAGCAAACGGG
rnacentral:rRNA from 1 species